rnacentral:rRNA from 1 species
ACGGCAGCACAGGAGAGCUUGCUCUCUCGGGUGGCGAGUGGCGGACGGGUGAGGAAUACAUCGGAAUCUACUUUUUCGUGGGGGAUAACGUAGGGAAACUUACGCUAAUACCGCAUACGACCUACGGGUGAAAGCAGGGGACCUUCGGGCCUUGCGCGAUUGAAUGAGCCGAUGUCGGAUUAGCUAGUUGGCGGGGUAAAGGCCCACCAAGGCGACGAUCCGUAGCUGGUCUGAGAGGAUGAUCAGCCACACUGGAACUGAGACACGGUCCAGACUCCUACGGGAGGCAGCAGUGGGGAAUAUUGGACAAUGGGCGCAAGCCUGAUCCAGCCAUACCGCGUGGGUGAAGAAGGCCUUCGGGUUGUAAAGCCCUUUUGUUGGGAAAGAAAUCCAGCCGGCUAAUACCUGGUUGGGAUGACGGUACCCAAAGAAUAAGCACCGGCUAACUUCGUGCCAGCAGCCGCGGUAAUACGAAGGGUGCAAGCGUUACUCGGAAUUACUGGGCGUUAAGCGUGCGUAGGUGGUUGUUUAAGUCUGUUGUGAAAGCCCUGGGCUCCACCUGGGAACUGCAGUGGAAACUGGACCACUAGAGUGUGGUAGAGGGUA